AGCGUUUGAAGCAUUGAGGUCACCCAUUUAAUCUGCUGCAAUCAAGCCGCCGCAACCCGAAAUUCAGGCUGAAGUGUUAAUGCUGCAACACAAACACACAAAAUCAGUUAACUCCAAAACAAAUUUUUCAAUUAAGUGAGUUACAGUGGUGAAAGUUUUUCUUACCAACAGUAGAGUUUUCCAAAUGAAGAGAAUUGAGAAGAGGGACCACUAGCUUGAGUAAAGACAAAACCUCCAAGCACCCUCCGUAUAGACACUUCCCACUACUCUGAGGAAGCUCAGCAACACAGCAGGAAACAGAGCAGAGAGCAGAGGGGAUGAGAGAUAUAUAAUAGGAGGUCACUGUUCAUGAGGGGGAGAGCCAGAAAAACCCUAAUUCCAUAUAGUAGCCGCCACUGAUCACUAACAAGGAAGAGAGAAUUCUGCAAGAACACAAAGAGCUGACUGUUCACACAAAUAAAAUCCUACCGUUGAACCACCCACCCUAAAUCUCAUUUUUCCCAUCAACCAUAGCAUCUUCCACCUUGGCUCUCAUUACGACCUCUCCGAUAACGUGGAUUUGCUAGUCUGUUGUUAGGUAACAGCAAUACAAAAUCUGGAGUUGCCAUUCAUCUCACUCGGUGAAGACUUUGGUGCUCGAAAAGAUAACAAGCUGAAACAAUAGGGACGUCGCUAUAACCGCCACCACGGUAUAACCAUUUUCGACGCGGUCCAAGAAUCUAGCAUCGACAUCACGCAACAUCGUCACUCGACAUCAGGUGCGUUCAUAGCUGACUUGCUUAUGAAAGAAAUGUAUCGAAAAUGAAAGGAGUUUGAGUUCCGGUUAUAUUUUUUGUUGAUUGUUGUUGUUCGGACAUAUUUGCAUUGCAUGAGAGAUGAUGUACGGUUCACAGUCCAUGGAAGAAACAUUUUUUCUAUUUUAUUUUUUUUCAGAAGGAUAAAUCCAUUUGUUUUUUGUAGCAGGUGUGCAUUAAAAUGAAUCUGUUUAAAAGGACCUGCUACUGUUUUAACUUUGUGUUUUAUUUAAAGCUUGAUCCAUUUUUUAUGUUAUGUAUUAGUGCUU
rnacentral:lncRNA from 1 species